rnacentral:rRNA from 1 species
CACGGGGGGGAGCAAGCGUUGUUCGGAAUCACUGGGCGUAAAGGGCGUGUAGGCGGUCAGGUAAGUGGGAUGUGAAAAGCCCCUCGGCUCACCCCGAGGAUCUGCAUCUCAAAACUGCCUGGCUUGAGUAUGGGGAGAGGAUGAGGGGAAUUCCUGGUGUAGCGGUGAAAAUGCGUAGAUAUCAGGAGGAACACCGGUGGCGAAAGGCGGCUUCCUGGACCGACACUGACGCUGAGGCGCGAAAGCUAGGGGAGCAAACGGG